rnacentral:rRNA from 1 species
UACGGAGGCAGCAGUGGGGAAUAUUGCACAAUGGGCGCAAGCCUGAUGCAGCCAUGCCGCGUGUAUGAAGAAGGCCUUCGGGUUGUAAAGUACUUUCAGUCGUGAGGAAGGUGUUAAGGUUAAUAACCUUAGCAAUUGACGUUAGCGACAGAAGAAGCACCGGCUAACUCCGUGCCAGCAGCCGCGGUAAUACGGAGGGUGCGAGCGUUAAUCGGAAUUACUGGGCGUAAAGGGCACGCAGGCGGUUAAUUAAGUUGGAUGUGAAAUCCCCGGGCUUAACCUGGGAAUGGCAUUCAAGACUGGUUAGCUAGAGUCUUGUAGAGGGGGUAGAAUUCCAUGUGUAGCGGUGAAAUGCGUAGAGAUGUGGAGGAAUACCGGUGGCGAAGGCGGCCCCUGGGACAAAGACUGACGCUCAUGUGCGAAAGCGUGGGGAGCAAACAGGGAUUAGAUACC